UCAGGUGUCCUGACGGACUUGAUAGGGAAUCCCGUGUGAAUCGGGAGCGGACCCGCCGCCGUGACGCUCUGCCGAACUGUUUUCAUUAUGCCACUGACCACCGGUCGGGAAGGCGAAAGCAGGAGGAGCCAGCCGGAAGACCUGCCUGAAAACG
rnacentral:ncRNA from 1 species